rnacentral:rRNA from 1 species
CCUACGGGUGGCAGCAGUGGGGAAUAUUGGACAUUGGUCGAAAUCCUGAUCCAGCCAUGCCGCGUGUGUGAAGAAGGCCUUCGGGUUGUAAAGCACUUUCAGUGGGGAAGAAAGCCUUGGGGCUAAUACCCUCGAGGAAGGACAUCACCCACAGAAGAAGCACCGGCUAACUCCGUGCCAGCAGCCGCGGUAAUACGGAGGGUGCGAGCGUUAAUCGGGAUUACUGGGCGUAAAGCGCGCGUAGGCGGUCUGAUAAGCCGGUUGUGAAAGCCCCGGGCUCAACCUGGGAACGGCAUCCGGAACUGUCAGGCUAGAGUGCAGGAGAGGAAGGUAGAAUUCCCGGUGUAGCAGUGAAAUGCGUAGAGAUCGGGAGGAAUACCAGUGGCGAAGGCGGCCUUCUGGACUGACACUGACGCUGAGGUGCGAAAGCGUGGGUAGCAAACAGGAUUAGAUACCCCGGUAGUC